UUUGGGUGUGACUGCGUACCUUUUGUAUAAUGGGUCAGCGACUUAUAUUCUGUAGCAAGGUUAACCGAAUAGGGGAGCCGGAGGGAAACCGAGUCUUAACCGGGCGUUAAGUUGCAGGGUAUAGACCCGAAACCCGGUGAUCUAGCCAUGGGCAGGUUGAAGGUUGGGUAACACUAACUGGAGGACCGAACCGACUAAUGUUGAAAAAUUAGCGGAUGACCUGUGGCUGGGGGUGAAAGGCCAAUCAAACCGGGAGAUAGCUGGUUCUCCCCGAAAGCUAUUUAGGUAGCGCCUCGUGAAUUCAUCUCCGGGGGUAGAGCACUGUUUCGGCUAGGGGGCCAUCCCGGCUUACCAACCCGAUGCAAACUGCGAAUACCGGAGAAUGUUAUCACGGGAGACACACGGCGGGUGCUAACGUCCGUCGUGAAGAGGGAAACAACCCAGACCGCCAGCUAAGGUCCCAAAGUCAUGGUUAAGUGGGAAACGAUGUGGGAAGGCCCAGACAGCCAGGAUGUUGGCUUAGAAGCAGCCAUCAUUUAAAGAAAGCGUAAUAGCUCACUGGUCGAGUCGGCCUGCGCGGAAGAUGUAACGGGGCUAAACCAUGCACCGAAGCUGCGGCAGCGACACUGUGUGUUGUUGGGUAGGGGAGCGUUCUGUAAGCCUGUGAAGGUGUGUCGUGAGGCAUGCUGGAGGUAUCAGAAGUGCGAAUGCUGACAUAAGUAACGAUAAAGCGGGUGAAAAGCCCGCUCGCCGGAAGACCAAGGGUUCCUGUCCAACGUUAAUCGGGGCAGGGUGAGUCGACCCCUAAGGCGAGGCCGAAAGGCGUAGUCGAUGGGAAACGGGUUAAUAUUCCCGUACUUGGUGUUACUGCGAAGGGGGGACGGAGAAGGCUAUGUUGGCCGGGCGACGGUUGUCCCGGUUUAAGCGUGUAGGUGUGUGUUCCAGGUAAAUCCGGUUCACUUUAACACUGAGGCGUGACGACGAGGCACUACGGUGCUGAAGCAACAAAUGCCCUGCUUCCAGGAAAAGCCUCUAAGCAUCAGGUAACAUCAAAUCGUACCCCAAACCGACACAGGUGGUCAGGUAGAGAAUACCAAGGCGCUUGAGAGAACUCGGGUGAAGGAACUAGGCAAAAUGGUGCCGUAACUUCGGGAGAAGGCACGCUGACACGUAGGUGAAGUGAUUUACUCAUGGAGCUGAAGUCAGUCGAAGAUACCAGCUGGCUGCAACUGUUUAUUAAAAACACAGCACUGUGCAAACACGAAAGUGGACGUAUACGGUGUGACGCCUGCCCGGUGCCGGAAGGUUAAUUGAUGGGGUCAGCGCAAGCGAAGCUCCUGAUCGAAGCCCCGGUAAACGGCGGCCGUAACUAUAACGGUCCUAAGGUAGCGAAAUUCCUUGUCGGGUAAGUUCCGACCUGCACGAAUGGCGUAAUGAUGGCCAGGCUGUCUCCACCCGAGACUCAGUGAAAUUGAACUCGCUGUGAAGAUGCAGUGUACCCGCGGCAAGACGGAAAGACCCCGUGAACCUUUACUAUAGCUUGACACUGAACAUUGAGCCUUGAUGUGUAGGAUAGGUGGGAGGCUUUGAAGUGUGGACGCCAGUCUGCAUGGAGCCGACCUUGAAAUACCACCCUUUAAUGUUUGAUGUUCUAACGUGGACCCGUUACCCGGGUUGCGGACAGUGUCUGGUGGGUAGUUUGACUGGGGCGGUCUCCUCCUAAAGAGUAACGGAGGAGCACGAAGGUUGGCUAAUCCUGGUCGGACAUCAGGAGGUUAGUGCAAUGGCAUAAGCCAGCUUGACUGCGAGCGUGACGGCGCGAGCAGGUGCGAAAGCAGGUCAUAGUGAUCCGGUGGUUCUGAAUGGAAGGGCCAUCGCUCAACGGAUAAAAGGUACUCCGGGGAUAACAGGCUGAUACCGCCCAAGAGUUCAUAUCGACGGCGGUGUUUGGCACCUCGAUGUCGGCUCAUCACAUCCUGGGGCUGAAGUAGGUCCCAAGGGUAUGGCUGUUCGCCAUUUAAAGUGGUACGCGAGCUGGGUUUAGAACGUCGUGAGACAGUUCGGUCCCUAUCUGCCGUGGGCGCUGGAGAACUGAGGGGGGCUGCUCCUAGUACGAGAGGACCGGAGUGGACGCAUCACUGGUGUUCGGGUUGUCAUGCCAAUGGCACUGCCCGGUAGCUAAAUGCGGAAGAGAUAAGUGCUGAAAGCAUCUAAGCACGAAACUUGCCCCGAGAUGAGUUCUCCCUGAGACUUAGAGUCUCCUGAAGGAACGUUGAAGACGACGACGUUGAUAGGCCGGGUGUGUAAGCGCAGCGAUGCGUUGAGCUAACCGGUACUAAUGAACCGUGAGGCUUAACCUU
rnacentral:rRNA from 1 species